UACGUAGGGCGCAAGCGUUAUCCGGAAUUAUUGGGCGUAAAGAGCUCGUAGGCGGUCUGUCACGUCGGCUGUGAAAUCCCGAGGCUCAACCUCGGGUCUGCAGUCGAUACGGGCAAACUAGAGUAUUGCAGGGGAGACUGGAAUUCCUGGUGUAGCGGUGAAAUGCGCAGAUAUCAGGAGGAACACCGAUGGCGAAGGCAGGUCACUGGGCCGCAACUGACGCUGAGGAGCGAAAGCAUGGGGAGCGAACAGG
rnacentral:rRNA from 1 species